UACGUAGGGGGCUAGCGUUGUCCGGAAUCAUUGGGCGUAAAGCGCGUGUAGGCGGUCCGGUAAGUCCGCUGUGAAAGUCGAGGGCUCAACCCUCGAAUGCCGGUGGAUACUGUCGGGCUUGAGUACGGGAGAGGCGAGUGGAAUUCCUGGUGUAGCGGUGAAAUGCGCAGAUAUCAGGAGGAACACCGAUUGCGAAGGCAAUCCCCUGGGCCUGCACUGACGCUCAUGCACGAAAGCGUGGGGAGCAAACAGG
rnacentral:rRNA from 1 species